CAAUGGGCGCAGCCUGAUGCAGCGACGCCGCGUGCGGGAUGACGGCCUUCGNCAUNGUAAACCGCNNUUGAUCGGGAGCAAGCCUUCGGGUGAGUGUACCUUUCGAAUAAGCACCGGCUAACUACGUGCCAGCAGCCGCGGUAAUACGUAGGGUGCAAGCGUUAUCCGGAAUUAUUGGGCGUAAAGGGCUCGUAGGCGGUUCGUCGCGUCCGGUGUGAAAGUCCAUCGCUUAACGGUGGAUCUGCGCCGGGUACGGGCGGGCUGGAGUGCGGUAGGGGAGACUGGAAUUCCCGGUGUAACGGUGGAAUGUGUAGAUAUCGGGAAGAACACCAAUGGCGAAGGCAGGUCUCUGGGCCGUUACUGACGCUGAGGAGCGAAAGCGUGGGGAGCGAACAGGAUUAGAUACCCUGGUAGUCCAAGGGCGAAUUC
rnacentral:rRNA from 1 species